rnacentral:rRNA from 1 species
AACGCGAAGAACCUUACCUGGGCUCGAACGGCUCACGAAAGUCUUUGGAAACAGAGAUUUCCCGCAAGGGACGGGAGUCGAGGUGCUGCAUGGCUGUCGUCAGCUCGUGUCGUGAGAUGUUGGGUUAAGUCCCGCAACGAGCGCAACCCUUGUCCUGUGUUACCAUGCCGAAAGGCGGCACUCGCAGGAGACCGCCAGCGAUAAGCUGGAGGAAGGUGGGGAUGACGUCAAGUCCUCAUGGCCUUUAUGUCCAGGGCUACACACGUGCUACAAUGGGCGGUACAAAGCGCUGCUAAGCCGCAAGGCGGAGCCAAUCGCAAAAAGCCGCUCUCAGUUCGGAUUGCAGGCUGCAACUCGCCUGCAUGAAGCUGGAAUCGCUAGUAAUGCUAUAUCAGAACGAUAGCGUGAAUACGUUCCCGGGCCUUGUACACACCGGUACUA